AUCAGCACAUCUGAGUCAAAUUAACAUGUGUAUUAAAGGAUGUUAGUGGAUUCCGUGAAGAUUAUUCCUAAAUCAGUAGAUUUAGGGAACGUUUACAGAUAACAGAUUAGGCUAGGAUUCCGGAUAAAGUUAGCAACACACGUUAACCACGAACAGCCUAUUAAUCCGUUCUCCUAAUGUUAUUUCAACCCAACGUUGUGGAAUUAGAGAAAAGGGGCUUCUUAAUGUGCUUUUAUCCGGGCUGGAGGGAGUUAAAUAUUAGUUAAAUAUAACAUUGGGGCGUGUGAUUGUAGUGGGUGGAGGUGGUGAAAUGAGGAUAUCCAUUUUGGAGUUCAAGCUAGUAUAAUAUAGUUAACGUUACAAAAUAAUAAGGAAGAGAGCUAUUUUUGUGAUACAUCGCUAUUGAUAUGGAUUUAGAGUGCAUAUUUGAGACUUCCAAACAGUAAACAAAAACGUAACUUAUGGGUGAGUGUUUUUAGCAGUCAUAUUAUGUCCUUGUGAUUCUGUUGAUUAUUACCUCUCUGUAUUAUGUUGCGGCUCAGCUGAUUUUGGAUUGAUGGCAAAGGGAGAGGGACUUAAGUGAGAGUGAAAACACAAGCACAAGAACCCCAGGGGGAUUCAAUGGAGCCUGAAGACCUGCAAUGAGACCCUCACCCUGAGCCUGAGUCUCAACUCCCAGAGUUUUGCAAGCCUCUCCCUGUUCCUUAUUUUGAUUAAACAGACGUUAAGCUUC